GAAAUGCGAUACGCAAUGCGAAUUGCAGAAUUCCGCGAAUCAUCAGAUUCUUGAACGCAACUGGCGCUGGAGGGAUAUCCUUCCAGCAUGUCUGUUUCAGUGUCUGAAAACAUCCUAAAUCAUUCUAAUGUGUUUGACAAGGAAUAAAUCAUAUAUAUCGAAUGAUAUUAUAUUUAUCUUCCAAGUCUUACAUGAAAGAUGUAUGUGUGGGUCUUUGGAUCCAUCGAAUUGGUCAUCGAUUUCUUCGGUGAUUUCGAUUGGAUAUUCACCAAUUACUCGUAUACACAUAGAAUAUACAUAUAUAUUUAUUUAUAGAUAUAUAUAAACUUCUUUAUCAUCUGCAUCUGAAAUCAGGCAAGAAAACCCGCUGAACUUAAGC
rnacentral:misc_RNA from 1 species